UAAUCCUUCUAACAACUUCAAUAUCCGCUUCACUCUUGGAUUCGGUUGAAAAUGAUGAAUCGGAACCGACUGACUUGCUCAAAACUGCUCCCAUGGCUAGGGGAUCAACCAACUGCAGUUACAUGCCAUAAUCCCUAAUUUUUGCAUAGAUUUCCCCAGAGUGGGGUACUCAAUCUAUCGGGAUGAAUUUUCUGUUUCAUGUCUCUAAU
rnacentral:lncRNA from 1 species